rnacentral:rRNA from 1 species
AAGCUCGUAGUUGAAUUUCGGGAUCAAUUUAUUGGUCGUGCAAUAGUACGUACUGGUAUUAUUGAUUCCUACCUUCUGACGAACCAUGAUGUCAUUAAUUUGGUGUCAUGGGGAAUCAGGACUGUUACUUUGAGAAAAUUAGAGUGUUUAAAGCAGGCUCACGCUUGAAUACAUUAGCAUGGAAUAACGAAAUAGGACGUUUGAUUCUAUUUUGUUGGUUUCUAGGAUCGACGUAAUGAUUAAUAGGGAUAGUUGGG